ACUCAAAUGAAUUGACGGGGACCUGCACAAGCGGUGGAGCAUGUGGUUUAAUUCGACGCAACGCGAAGAACCUUACCUGGGUUAAAUCCGAGUGAAAAGCGCAGAGAUGCGUUCCCCUCGCAAGAGGCACAAAGGAAGGUGCUGCAUGGCUGUCGUCAGCUCGUGUCGUGAGAUGUUGGGUUAAGUCCCGCAACGAGCGCAACCCUUACCAUUAGUUACCAUCAUUCAGUUGGGGACUCUAAUGGAACUGCCGGUGAUAAACCGGAGGAAGGUGGGGAUGACGUCAAGUCAUCAUGGCCUUUAUGUCCAGGGCUACACACGUGCUACAAUGGACGGUACAAACCGUAGCAAACCCGCGAGGGGGAGCCAAUCGGAAAAAACCGUUCUCAGUUCGGAUUGUAGUCUGCAACUCGACUACAUGAAGUUGGAAUCGCUAGUAAUCGCGGAUCAGCACGCCGCGGUGAAUACGUUCCCAGGUCUUGUACACACCGCCCGU
rnacentral:rRNA from 1 species